rnacentral:tRNA from 1 species
ACUCAAAUAGCUUAUUAGAGCAUAACAUUGAAGAUGUUGGGGUGAUUGAUUAAAAUCUUUGAGUA